GACGAACGCUGGCGGCGUGCCUAAUACAUGCAAGUUGAGCGCUGAAGGUUGGUACUUGUACCGACUGGAUGAGCAGCGAACGGGUGAGUAACGCGUGGGGAAUCUGCCUUUGAGCGGGGGACAACAUUUGGAAACGAAUGCUAAUACCGCAUAAAAACUUUAAACACAAGUUUUAAGUUUGAAAGAUGCAAUUGCAUCACUCAAAGAUGAUCCCGCGUUGUAUUAGCUAGUUGGUGAGGUAAAGGCCCACCAAGGCGAUGAUACAUAGCCGACCUGAGAGGGUGAUCGGCCACAUUGGGACUGAGACACGGCCCAAACUCCUACGGGAGGCAGCAGUAGGGAAUCUUCGGCAAUGGACGAAAGUCUGACCGAGCAACGCCGCGUGAGUGAAGAAGGGUUUCGGAUCGUAAAACUCUGUUGGUAGAGAAGAACGUUGGUGAGAGUGGAAAGCUCAUCAAGUGACGGUAACUACACAGAAAGGGACGGCUAACUACGUG
rnacentral:rRNA from 1 species